AGCUGAGUCCUAUUUAGCUCAAGCACCUCUUGGGUAUUAACAGCUUGGGCUGCAGGACGGGCUGCACAUAGAUAGUUUGUGGAAGGAGAGUAGAGUCCAUUCGGUGGAAGGAAGGACGGAUCCACAGAUGAUGUAUCUAGAACCUGAGUUCAUCAAAUGUCCUUUGACUCCACUCACACUGACGGAGCUGAAAGACCUCCGGAGAGGACCUUUCCCUCAGGAGGAAUCCCAAGCGCCCAAUGACCGAGCCGAGUCUACUCGGAUGCAAUCAGCAAGAGGGUUUAUUGGAAAACACAGGUACCUGCGGGCACACAGUCUCUUCAGAGGACUUGUGCGCCCAGCAGCUCCAGCAUGGGGCUUUUAUAGGGUUUGGGGAAGCAGAAGCGGGCGUACAGAAGCAGAUGCAUAGUUACGGGGAUUGGUGGAUUCAAACGAGGCACAUAGACAUGUUCACAUAUGAUUGGCUAUUUCACAUGAUGAGGUAAUAAGGUAUAGCUACACACAUUGGCAGGUUUGGGGCGUCCUGAAUGUCGGGGGCUGGGGACUUAUCUCUUCCUGCCAGGUGGCCUGUGAGUCAGAUCUGGUACUCCUGGUCUGUUCUACAUUCCUUUUCUUUUAUGGUCUGUUAGUUCUAGCGGCAGGGAGGGGCUGCCUGGACUUGCUUUUCACAGUGUUUAGUCCUGAGGUUGUGAAUUUUGAAACAUACUCUUUUAACUUCAUAUUUUUAAACCUUAAAUCUGUAUAAAUUUCCUUUCAGGGGCAACCUAACUUGAACUCAUCAGAUCUGGCUUAGGCGUGGGGUUU
rnacentral:lncRNA from 1 species